GAGGUCAAGCAAAUCCCAUAAAGUUGUUCUCAGUUCGGAUUGUAGUCUGCAACUCGACUACAUGAAGCUGGAAUCGCUAGUAAUCGUAGAUCAGCAUGCUACGGUGAAUACGUUCCCGGGUCUUGUACACACCGCCCGUCACACCACGAGAGUUUGUAACACCCGAAGCCGGUGGAGCAACCUUUUAGGAGCUAGCCGUCGAAGGUGGGACAAAUGAUUGGGGUGAAGUCGUAACAAGGUAGCCGUAUCGGAAGGUGCGGCUGGAUCACCUCCUUU
rnacentral:rRNA from 1 species